rnacentral:rRNA from 1 species
GGGAAUAUUGCACAAUGGGGGAAACCCUGAUGCAGCGACGCCGCGUGAGUGAUGAAGUAUUUCGGUAUGUAAAGCUCUAUCAGCAGGGAAGAAAAUGACGGUACCUGACUAAGAAGCACCGGCUAAAUACGUGCCAGCAGCCGCGGUAAUACGUAUGGUGCAAGCGUUAUCCGGAUUUACUGGGUGUAAAGGGAGCGUAGACGGAGAGGCAAGUCUGAUGUGAAAACCCGGGGCUCAACCCCGGGACUGCAUUGGAAACUGUUUUUCUAGAGUGUCGGAGAGGCAAGUGGAAUUCCUAGUGUAGCGGUGAAAUGCGUAGAUAUUAGGAGGAACACCAGUGGCGAAGGCGGCUUGCUGGACGAUGACUGACGUUGAGGCUCGAAAGCGUGGGGAGCAAACAGG